GGGGAUUGAAAUUAUGAUUUCCAAGAGCCUCUGGCUAUGCUGCUGAUUCUCCUGUGGUUUCUCUGAGAACAGACAUUCCUGGCAUGAACAAACCUGGAUUCUGGUCUUGCGGCUUCUGAUUGGCAUCCUCUGCCUAUAUAAUGUCAGGAUGUGGAAUCCUAGAGUCGGAGUCUUAUCUUCCUCUGGAUUCUGAAGCUUUCCUCUGUGCUGCCUGCUCAACAACUGACCAUCAUGAAGUUUUUGGUGUUCCUGGCACUGGUGGCAGUUUCCACCUUCCUGGUUUCUGGCCCCACAGAGUCCACUACGGCUGCGACAUCCACUGCUGCUCCCACCACAUCCACUGCGGCUGCCACAACCACCACUGCUGCCAAGACCACCAUGUCCUACGAAGACUGCCUCUUUUAUUUUCGUUUUACCCCAUGGCUUCGGGUCAUUUACUGCUAAAAGUUAUCACUGAGAUGGAAUCAGCUUCAGCCUUCUAUAUUGAUCUUACUGGAUUCGGCCAGAAUGUCCCUUGAUUUGUUUCACUGCUGCUACUUUCCAGCCCUAUCGUAUCUCUCUUAUCUCUAAUCAGUUUCUAUUCAUUCAAAUAAAAUGAUGAGUGACAUCAAAAAUAGUAGUUAUUUUUUUAGCUGUCGGCCGAGCGGUCAUCCAAUCAUUAUGUCAAGUGAUAGAUAUUUUGAAUCUUACCCAGUUCUUCCCUAUAUUACUGUAAAUAAAUGGACCCCCU
rnacentral:lncRNA from 1 species